CCUACGGGUGGCAGCAGUCGAGAAUCAUUCACAAUGGGGGAAACCCUGAUGGUGCGACGCCGCGUGGGGGAAUGAAGGUCUUCGGAUUGUAAACCCCUGUCAUGUGGGAGCAAAUUAAAAAGAUAGUACCACAAGAGGAAUAGACGGCUAACUCUGUGCCAGCAGCCGCGGUAAUACAGAGGUCUCAAGCGUUGUUCGGAAUCACUGGGCGUAAAGCGUGCGUAGGCUGUUUCGUAAGUCGUGUGUGAAAGGCGCGGGCUCAACCCGCGGACGGCACAUGAUACUGCGAGACUAGAGUAAGGGAGGGGGAACCGGAAUGCUCGGUGUAGCAGUGAAAUGCGUAGAUAUCGAGAGGAACACUCGUGGCGAAGGCGGGUUCCUGGACAUUAACUGACGCUGAGGCACGAAGGCCAGGGGAGCGAAAGGGAUUAGAUACCCUAGUAGUC
rnacentral:rRNA from 1 species